UUCUGAAAACAAGGUAGUUGAGAUUUUUUCUAUAAAUUUCUCGUUUUCUACGGCUCUGAUCUUGUCUGUAUAUUUGUGCUUUUUUAAGGUUCUCUCUCUCUAUUUCGGGAAGAAAUCUUUCUUGCUGCGAACGCUUAAAUGGCAGAGCACACAAUGGAAGGUCUUAUGCAUAGGAAUAGUUAAAAGUGAUGCUGCAUAAAUGAUCAUCAAUUCUAUUUAGAUCAUUUAAAACAGUUCUGUAUCUUCGAUCAUUCAAUUAUGACAAAGUAAGCUCCCUCAAUCUUCUUAGAGGCCAAGGUCUCUCCAAGAUGCCAUCUGUUUAAUGCAAGGGUGAAAUAGAGCAAGUUUUAGUAAUGAUAAUGUUCCGGCAUGGCAUCUCAAUGGAGAUUGUUUAGAAAGAAAAAUUCCACUGAGGAGAAUUUUGGUAGAAGAUUUGAUAAAAGUAAAAUUGCUUCUUUAUUAAAAAAAAAAUGGUAAAUUUGUUCAAACUAACAUUCCAAUUGGAUAUGAGGUAACAAACUUUUAGAUAUUUUCUUUAAAUUCCAAGUUGGGAGUGUUUUUCAAACCCUGCACUCCCAUCUCUUCAGCAUGGCCUGAAUUAUAAGAUUACAAAUUAACCACUGCAUUUAGCUCUGUUCUUCUAUCCUCGGCACUUUAGCUUUGUCUAGGUCAUUUUUAUAAAUCCUAACUUUUGUCCUUAUUUACAUUGUAC